CUUGAUGUUUUUGAACUGGAAGAAUUUGAAAUCCUUUGAUUCUUGAAGAAUAUUAAGUCUUGGUCUUGAAGAUUUUAUUUAGGGAGAUACCCUAGUUGCUGUGAAAUAAAAGUGAGCAAAAUAGAUGAAUUCGGACUUAUCUAGGUCUAUAUAGGCUGGUGAUAAGUGACCAAAAUACCCCUAUUAAAAUAACCUAGAAAUAAGCUGAACAUGGCGUGUGACGGUCCGUCAGA
rnacentral:lncRNA from 1 species